rnacentral:rRNA from 1 species
GACGAACGCUGGCGGCGUGCCUAAUACAUGCAAGUUGAGCGAUGAAGCUUGGUGCUUGCACCAAUUUGAAGAGCAGCGAACGGGUGAGUAACGCGUGGGGAAUCUGCCUUUGAGCGGGGGACAACAUUUGGAAACGAAUGCUAAUACCGCAUAACAACUUUAAACAUAAGUUUUAAGUUUGAAAGAUGCAAUUGCAUCACUCAAAGAUGAUCCCGCGUUGUAUUAGCUAGUUGGUGAGGUAAAGGCUCACCAAGGCGAUGAUACAUAGCCGACCUGAGAGGGUGAUCGGCCACAUUGGGACUGAGACACGGCCCAAACUCCUACGGGAGGCAGCAGUAGGGAAUCUUCGGCAAUGGACGAAAGUCUGACCGAGCAACGCCGCGUGAGUGAAGAAGGGUUUCGGAUCGUAAAACUCUGUUGGUAGGGAAGAACGUUGGUGAGAGUGGAAAGCUCAUCAAGUGACGGUAACUACCCAGAAAGGGACGGCUAACUACGUG